UAUCGGAUUGAUACUAAGCCAUGCGAGUCAUUGUAGCAAUACAAGGCAUACGGCUCAGUAACGCGUAGUCAACCUAACCUAUGGACGGGAAUAACCUCGGGAAACUGAGAAUAAUGCCCGAUAGAACAUUAUGCCUGGAAUGGUUUAUGUUCCAAAUGAUUUAUCGCCGUAGGAUGGGACUGCGGCCUAUCAGUUUGUUGGUGAGGUAAUGGCCCACCAAGACUAUUACAGGUACGGGCUCUGAGAGGAGUAGCCCGGAGAUGGGUACUGAGACACGGACCCAGGCCCUAUGGGGCGCAGCAGGCGAGAAAACUUUGCAAUGUGCGAAAGCACGACAAGGUUAAUCCGAGUGGUUUCUGCUAAAGGAACCUUUUGUCAGUCCUAGAAACACUGAUGAAUAAGGGGUGGGCAAGUUCUGGUGUCAGCCGCCGCGGUAAAACCAGCACCUCAAGUGGUCAGGAUGAUUAUUGGGCCUAAAGCAUCCGUAGCCGGCUCUGUAAGUUUUCGGUUAAAUCUGUACGCUCAACGUACAGGCUGCCGGGAAUACUGCAAAGCUAGGGAGUGGGAGAGGUAGACGGUACUCGGUAGGAAGGGGUAAAAUCCUUUGAUCUAUUGAUGACCACCUGUGGCGAAGGCGGUCUACCAGAACACGUCCGACGGUGAGGGAUGAAAGCUGGGGGAGCAAACCGGAUUAGAUACCCGGGUAGUCCCAGCUGUAAACCAUGCAAACUCAGUGAUGCAUUGGCUUGUGGCCAAUGCAGUGCUGCAGGGAAGCCGUUAAGUUUGCCGCCUGGGAAGUACGUACGCAAGUAUGAAACUUAAAGGAAUUGGCGGGGGAGCACCACAAGGGGUGAAGCCUGCGGUUCAAUUGGAGUC
rnacentral:rRNA from 1 species